UCUUUUAGUAACUGUUUAUUUUCAGGCAACCAAUGGAAGGGUUAGGAUCUUCCCAUUGAGGGGAUGUUGGGGCAUCAUCUAGCCACCGUGGGGUUCAUCAUGUCAAUGGCCCAGGUAUUUGAGACAUGGCCCCGCUUGUAUUAUUUGAAAAGCCGAGGGUACCACGCAUAUCCUUGAGUCAAGGACAGGGGUGCAACUUGGGCAGGUUGGGUCAGGUUUUGGGUCAACCCCAGCCCAUCCUGACCUCAAGAUGACCAACCUGCAAUCGACCUGACCUGAAUUCCAACCUGAGGUGCCCAACCCGAAUUCCUUUUUACCUGAUCCAACCUAACCCAACUCGACCCAAAUACGUGUGAUUGUUUCCAACCCUAACAACCUGACCCGAACCCAAGUUGCCGCAAAAGGAUUCAUAUAAUUCAUGUUCUUCAUUGCGGAGUAUCACAAUGUUGAAUCACUAACACACCCCUCUCUCUUUCUCACAACAUGUGCUUGAAUUUCUCCACAGAUGCUUGUAAAGAAGGUUGACACGCUGUCAAAGGCCAUGGAAAUAGAGUGUAAGAAAAUGAAAAGAGAAACAACAGCUAGGGAGAAGGAAAUAACGGCGGCAAAGUCGGAGGAUAAUAAACAAAGGACCAGAAACAUGAACAUCUCUAAGAUAGCCUUGAAACCUCAAGAAGCUUCCAGAAACUCAAGAAGCUAAGGUGAUGGUGGAAGCCUCUCUCCAUCACCCACAUCAUUUGAAUUUAAUGUUAUGUACAUAUUGAAGAGCCUAGUGAUGGUUGCUGCUUAACAAAUAAAUGUUUGGUUCAGAGAGAAACAGUGAAUGUGAAUUUGAAAUGAUAUUUUGAAAUUUUGGUAUUGAUUUGUCAACCGUGUGCAAGUUACAUGAAUGAAAAUCCAUCUUAU